AAAGGAGCAAGAGAAGCCUUAGAGAACAGAAAGAGGAGUCAGAGAAGUCAGAGAUGAACCAUAGAAUGCACAGAGGAUCCAUAGUGGAGUCAUAGAGGAGACAGAGGUGACAGAAGCUAAAGAGAGGCUAGAGAGCCAUAUGAGAAGUAGAGCAGAAAGGAGCAAAAGAGACACAAGAGAAGUGCUAGAGAAGUGCCAGAGGAGCCAGGGAGGGAACAGAGCAGAGACAAAGAAGCCUGGGAAGCAAGAGAGGAGAUAGAAUGACAGAAUGGUCUCUCAAAGAAGCCAACACGAAACCAGAGAGGAGACAGAAAAGUUAGGGAAGCAAAAGAGAGAUGACUGAGAGACAAAAGGUACCAAAAUGGUGCCAGAGAGGAGAUAGGAGGCAAAGGUGCCAGUGAAGCAAUAGAAGCUAGAGAACCAGAGGAGCAAGAGAAGAGCCAGAAACACCAAAGAAAUUAUAGAGAAGCCAGAGAGGAGACAGAGAGCAGAUGGAAAGCCAGAUUGCAUCUCACUGAGACAGGAAUACUUUCAGUCAGAAGUUCUUGCUUCUGGAUGAGCUACAUUUCUUUAUAAGUUUUGCUGCAUUUAGACAAAAUAUGAUUGCAGAGGAAAGUAACACGGGAGAAACUGACAGUGAAAAAUGAAGAUUUUGUCUGCAGCAACUUUUCUCACCAUAACUGAGCACAGUCAAACAACUUCUGAUUUAUUCAGAGCCAAUUCUGCCUGUGAGGAAAAGAGAGUCAGCUGGAAGCAGCUUCAUCUCCACCCAAGCGCAGCAGCCACCUCAAGCGUGUGCACUGAGCUCUGCAGAGAAACUCCUUUUGGUUGUUCAGAGUGUUGCAUCCCUCCAAUAGGGAUGCAUACCACAGCCUCCAGGUAACCACUUUGUGGUUCAGGAGAUGUCACAUGAGGGUUUUUUUGCCUGUACAUGUGAAUAUUUGGGGCACCGGUUACUGCAUUGAUGACCAUUUCUCACUCUAUCCAAAGAAUAACUCAUUAUUCAAAUGGAAGGCAUCUGGGCAUGACAGAAAGGCUGGCAGCUACUACAAAGCAUGGUGAGCAUAAACUGCUCGGUCAGCAGAGCAAGAUUCAUUCCUAGACACAUGGCUAUUGAGUUUGUUUGAGCAAGACUCACCCCUAGACACAUGGCUAUCUCUGUGCAGAGAGAGCUGUGGUUUUCAAGAUGUCCAGCUGUAAGAGCUGUAACAAAAAGCAUUGCUUCUUCAGUCUUCCGGAUCCAAAGCAUUGUUCAGGCCUUCCCAGCUGAAUCAAUUGGUUUAGGAAAUAUUGCAGCUGCUGCCUGCAACUUUUUUUCUCUUGCAUGCUUUGAAAUAGAUCUACCCUCCGCAGGACAGAUGAGGCAUACUGCAGACCCCACUCAUGCAAAAGGUGUUGCCUUUGGAAGCCACCCGCAGAUCUGUGAGAGCCCCACACCUGCAGAUAUAAGUUAACUACUUAUUGCUGCUUUUAUCUCCUCUGAAAAACUGCAGCAAGUCAAAGCAGCAGGUGUCUGGCCCGUGAUACUGCAAAGACACGGAUGCUGACCCUGCCUUUGCCUUCAGUUUGUUUGCUGCAUGCCUCACCUGGUUUUCCCUUUGCUGCCACUAUACCACAAAUCCUGCCAGGUCAGGUUACUGCUCUGUUAUCUGGCUCUUCUAAGCCAUAUGUUGAAGGCCCCCCUGAGGAGGCCCUCGUGUAACGUUUCAGCUCCUGGAGACCGAGUGGUCUUUCAUUGGGACAGGAACAGCAAUGGGAGCAACAGCAGCUGAAAAGCGUUACGAGUUGGCUCUGUGCUACAAGGUACUUUCCCAUGAGAGGUCUUCAGCUGAACAGAGCAGCGGCGGUGAGUACAGAGGCUUUUAAAAAGUCUACACGCCGCCCCAGAUCCAGCUGUGGGCUGUAACAAAUAGACUGGAGUGCUUCUAACAGAUGCUGCUUAAAGCCUUGCCGCAUUUUACACCUUUCAGCUUCCUCACAAGAUGAAGUAGACUGAUCUAAAGUGCAUAUAUGUGUGGUUUGGUUUUCUUUUUUCUCCCUUUUCCCUUACAGAUCGAAAGUGCAGUGUAGUAGCAGCAUCUAUCUGCUAGCAGGGUGCACACGGGCAGCCCCACACAGCAGCUGCUGGAGGAUGGACACCCACAGGAGCCCUGUGGGCACUGACAGCAGGUGUCCUGCCGCAAGGUCCUGCUCGCUCCCAGCAACACAAGUUUCACCUGCACUCCCCUUUCUCUUUGUGCUGGCAUGUGUUGGAGUAAAUAUGUCCGCUACAGUUGUCAAGGAGUCAGAUAACACGUGUGAAGAAACAAAGGUCCUGAAAGGAAUCCCAGAUGCAACAGUUCUUGUGGGAAAGAUAUUCUGUUAUCCAGUGCCAGUAUUUGCCUUUCAAGGAACAAUAACUCAGUACAAGGUAAUGCCGUUAAAUGCACUUCUUGGUAUAAUCCUUCAGCAAAGGAGUAUUCGCUUUAUUUUUAAAAAUCACUUCUGUUUUUCCUAUUUAGAGCAUGCUAUCUGUAAAACUACAGGGGCUGCUCCAAAAGCAGUGCCUCUUAUUUUAUGAUGUUGGCCCACAAUAUCUAA